rnacentral:rRNA from 1 species
GGGUGAGUAACACGUAUGCAAUCCACCUGUAACAGGGGGAUAACCCGGAGAAAUCCGGACUAAUACCCCAUAAUAUGGGUUCUCCGCAUGGAGGGUCCAUUAAAGAGAGCAAUUUUGGUUACAGACGAGCAUGCGCUCCAUUAGCCAGUUGGCGGGGUAACGGCCCACCAAAGCGACGAUGGAUAGGGGUUCUGAGAGGAAGGUCCCCCACAUUGGAACUGAGACACGGUCCAAACUCCUACGGGAGGCAGCAGUGAGGAAUAUUGGUCAAUGGUCGGCAGACUGAACCAGCCAAGUCGCGUGAGGGAAGACGGCCCUACGGGUUGUAAACCUCUUUUGUCGGAGAGUAAAGUACGCUACGUGUAGCGUAUUGCAAGUAUCCGAAGAAAAAGCAUCGGCUAACUCCGUGCCAGCAGCCGCGGUAAUACGGAGGAU